rnacentral:lncRNA from 1 species
UAAUAAAAAGUUCUCUAAUUAUCAAAAUAUUUUUUUUUACGAAAAGAACCUCCUUAUUAAAUUUAUUUACCAAAACUAAUCCUCGCAUUUUACAUAAACUUUAUUAACUCCCCCGUUCACAAAAUUACAUUUAAUUAUUUUAUAUUUUUAUUUUUUGUUUGAAAAUUUAUAAUUAAAUAAAAAUAGUAAAGUGGUAUUUUUAAAAAAAAAACACACAAUAUGACAAAAUAUAAAUUAUAAAAUAAUAAAAUAUUAUAUUAUUAGUGUUACAUAAUUUGCUAAAAAGCAUGAUUUUAUAAUUCUAGUUAAUGCUUAAUAAUAUAUUUUUACCCUAAAAUAAAUAAAUAAACAAAUUUUUUGAACCAAGCGAUGAAAAAGUGAAAAUAUGCAAAACAAUAAAAGAGAAAAUUGAAUUUACUCUUUAAUAUAAAUAUUGAUAUAAUUUACUUAUCAGAAUUUAUUUUUAAUUUAAUAUGUCAUAAUUUUUUUCUCACGAUUCUUUAAGGCUUCAAAAUAUAAACAAGCCCAUUUUUUCUCUUUUAAUUUUAAUAAUAAAUAAUGAGAGUUAAAUAGUAGGAUAAAUUAAUAUUUCAGACAUAUGGCCAAAUUCUAUUUAUAUUAAAUAUAUAUAUAUAAAGUUCGGUUACUAUGCUAUUAAUAGCACGAAGCACUUGGUGCUACCAAGUUUUCCGCCGUUAGAUCUACCAUUUUGAUCAUUUUCAUCCGUUAGAUCAUACUAUUCAACCAACCACCCACUCAACUCUAGAGGGUCCACAUCAUCCUAACCGCACAUCUCUUAAUCCAAUGGCUAAAAACUUGUUAGCACCAAUGACUUGGUGCUAUUAAUAACAUAAUAGUCUAGUUCUGUAUAUAUAUAUAUAUUAAACUAUUUAAUUUAAAAAAAUUAAAGGAUCUAGUUUGUAAAAAAAUUGGUAAAGUUCCCACGUGGUCUUCGUACUAUUUUCCCACCAAACUUUUGACAUGUACUAAUUAGUAAAAAUCAAUUUUGUUAGGGACUUAAUUGAAAAAAGUACACGCAGAUUUAGAGAGAGAGAUAGGCGGAGAAGAGAAAGGCAUCCGAGGGAGGUGGGUCGAAAUCCACUGCACUUCCCAAACAGCAAACACCAUUUUUGUGGGCCCCGCGUCAGCGUGGACGAAUAGAGUGUUGACACGUCACCAGGCCCUUCAUUUUCACCCUUGAAGUUGUGUCGAAUUACGGAAUUGGUAACCCGGAAAAAGCGCGACAAAAAGAGUUGCGAAAGCGAUAGGCUUUUUCCUUUUUUUCUUUUUUUUUACACUUUUCCUCUUUUUUUUUUUUUGACUCUUUCAUUACUUUUUAAAUUAAUUAUUUUGAUUUUUGAGCACGUAAUGACGAAAUUGCCCCCCCGCCCAACGGUUCUCCAACGGCUCUAUUUUUGGGACCACGUUUUUGGUUUUCGCAGUCACUGUUGUCAAAAAAAAGUAUUAGAGAUGUUAACGGGUUUGGUUUGGAGCGGGUUUUUAAAAAUUCGGUUUCGUACCUUACUCUAAACCCGAGAUCCGAACUCGAAUUCGAAUUCGAUGGAUUUUAAAAAUUCAUAUCCAAAUUCGAAUCCGACCAAAAAUCUGAAACCCGAACCCAUAAAUUCGAACACAAAAUAAUAUUUUUUUUAAUAUUUCAAAAUAUAUUAUAUUAAAUUUAAAAUUUUAAAGUACAAAUUCAAAUAUAACAUCAAAUUUUUAUACAUAUAUUAUAUAUAAUGCAAGAUAAAUUCAAAGUUUAGAUUCGGGUUAGGGUUCGGGUUUGGAUACAAUCAAAAUCCAUGUCCAUUUAGCAUUGAAUAUAUUCGCUCCAUUCGAAUUCGUGUUUAGGUUAAAAUAAAAUUUCGAGUAUUCGUACUCAUUGACAUCCCUAAAAAAGAUGAAGUGUGGUUCAAAAAUUUUAAAAAAAGGGCUUUUUUUGUAUUUAUCCAUCUAAAAAAAAUUAUAAAUAAUUUUAAAAAAUUUAGAGUAAACUUCAAAUAUCACCCAUGUGGUUUUAUACUUUUUCAUUUCAGUAUCAUGUGGUUUAAAAUGCAUUAAUUUAAUACCCUAUGGUUUCAUUUUUCUCUUUUCACCGGCUCCUCCGUUAACAUUUCGUUAAAUUAUAUACAAAAAACUUCAGAUAUCUAACCUAGGUUUAUCAAAUAUUCAAUUUAGUACCUUUUAAUUAUAAUUUUGUUACUGAUUUAAUGAAAAAAAUUAGUGGAUGAGAUAAUAAAAACAGAAAAAUAAAACCACGGGGUACUAAAUUGAUACACUUAAACCAUAUGGUACUAAAAUAAAAAGUGCAAAACCAUAGGUGCGGUAUUUGAAAUUUUUUUCAAAAAUUUAUAUUUGUAUAAAUAGUUUUUUUUUUCUUACUGUACUGUACGAGUGUUCAUAUGGUAUUUUUAAGUUCAAUACAGUGAUUGGAUCACCGUGUUCCCUUUUAUAUUUUUUUCGACCCUGAGUAAGAAAAAAGAGACUAGAGUCAGUGUGGAUAUAAAUAUAAUGAUUCAUUCAUUGUGCUCAACUUAAAAAUACAAAUGUGACGCUUCCAUACUAUGUAGAUGGUUACAUGUGUAAAUAUAAAUUUAUUAGGAUUAUUUGUAAAAAAAAAAAAUUGAGAUGGGCUAAAUGCAAAAAAAAGCCUUAGUAUAUUAGUUUUGAUUCUAUCUAAAAUUAUAAUCUUUUUUAUCUAGAGCUUAAAUUUUUUAUUUUAGUAUUAAAAAAUAAUUAAUGAAUUUUUGAAUGGAAACAAAACUGAUAUGUGACAGUAGAUCAGAAGCUCCCAAAUAAGGUGGGAGCUCUCAGCGAAAGUUUUAUCGGGUUAAAGUAUAUAAAAUAAGAGUGAACUUCAAUUUACUCCAUGUGAUUUAGCAUAUUUUUACGAUGUAAUUAUGUGGUGUAAAAAUUUGUACUUAAUUAUUUUAUAAUUUUAAUUUUGUUUUAUUAAAAAACUUAUGGUUAAAUUGAAUAAUGGAAAUUUUCUCAUUACUUUGUAUAUAAAUUAUAUAGUACAACUGAGCAAUAACUAAUAUACUCAUUUUAUCUUUAAAAAUGAUGAAAAAAGGAAAGUUAAUUAGUCAAUAGUGGGAAGUAUAUAAACUUUUAUGUAUGUAUUUAUUAUUUUAAUAAUAUAUUGGAUACGUCAAAAAGUUUAUCAGCUAUACUAUACCAUUUAUACACGGAAUAAUGAUGAGAUUAUAACAGUGCUAAGUUAUAUGCUAUAACUCUAAAUUUUAAAAACGUAAAGUAAAAUUUUCAAAAGAUAGGAGAUUAAGUAAAAGGACAGAUAUUUACAAAAAAAAAAUAUUGAGACAGUUUAGCCAUUAAAAUUCAAGAAAUAAUACACAAAGAAUAUUCAGAGCAUAUUCCUCGUACAAAGGGAUGCAAACAUGACAGAUCCGAGAGCAGGUGGGGUUUUACCGUUUUACACCUCCCGUUCUGUUUUUUGUCAAGUUGGAAUGCAUUCGGGGCGGAUUAAUUUUAAUUCUUUUUUAACCUCCAAUUGUAAUUUCAUUCAAGGCGGAUCUAGAUGGGAAGUGGUUUUGGUGAAUUUUUUGACGGAUCGGAACUGAUCAAAGGGAGAAAGAGAUUUUCAUCCUCCUGGUUUAUCUACUUGGCAGAUUGGGACGGAUUUAGAAUAAUAAGUUAUAUAUUUUUUAUAUUUUUUAUUCUCAUUUAUCAUCUCAUUCGGGCGGAUUGUGUGGAAGAUCCAUCAACCUACAUCCAUUUGCAUCUCUAGGUACAAAGAGAAGCAUUUUCGUAUACCUUUGGUUCGAUCCGGGAACAAGAGAGAAUAAGUUUUUGUUCUCCCCUUUAUUUUCAAAUAAAAAUUUUUAUAUUCGAGAACAGUAGUUCUCGAAUCCUUGAAAUAAAAGGGUAUAACCCGACAUAAGUCUGGAACUACUGUUUUACCAUUUUUUAUGGAACAAGCUUGUUUUCACAUGAGGACAAGAUUAAUUAAAGUUUAAAUUUAAUUUUAAUUAUAGUAUUAAAUUAUUAAUUAAUCUUAAAUAAUAAAGUAAUUAAUUAAAUACUCAUAAUUAAUUAGCUAAUUAAUUAUCAAUAAUUUAAUACGUUUAUCUAUAAACCAAUAUUUAUAUUGAUCAAUUAUUAACAUUUUAAUUAAUCUAAUUAAUUUUUUUACUAGUUAUCUAACUAAAAUAAUUUACUAAAAAGUUAAAUUAUUUUUUUAUAUUUAGAAAAUAUUCAAGGCUAAUAAAUUUAUUAAUUAUUAAAUUAUUUUAAUUAAUAUUUUAAUAUUAAUUAAUUAUAUAAAAUAUUUUAAAUUUAAAAUUAUACUUUUUAUUCCUCUUCUAAUCAUCUAAAUAUACUAUUUAUCUUAUUCUUAAAAAAAUAAUUUUAAUUUUCUUUCGAAUACAAAAUUUAUUUAAUUUUUAUUUAUAUCUAAAUUUAUAACUAUUCUUAGAUGCGUUUUAAGGGACCAGGGAAUCUUCGCUGUGCGCGCCUCGGUGGUCCCACCGCUGCCACGUGGCAGAAGCGCGUGGGACCCACACACCGCCCCGUGUGGGACCCACGCUCCAUGCCCGGCACGUGACGCACGUGCACCAACCCCGGCGGUGCGCUCCAGCCCAUUGCCGCGGCGCAACUUCCGCUCGUUUGAAAAGACCAAAUUACCCCUACACUUUACAUUAAUACCUCAAUAUAAUUUUUUCCUUAAUUUUUUUUUUAAAAAUCUAUUAAUUAGAGAUUGCACUCAUACACCUUUCAUUCUAAAAUUCACAUAAAUUAAAAUAAAUAUUUAGUAAAAAAUUAAUGAGAUAAUUAGAAAAUAAUAAGAUAUAUAUUUUAUUUUGGGGUGCAUCAAUAAUAUUGUUUAUUAAAAAUUAGACUAAUUUCAAUUUGCCCCCUAUGGUUCAGCGGAAAAAUAAAUUUAUCAUUAAAUAAGAUAGUAAAAUUGGUUACUUUUUAAAAAUAAAAUUAUGACAUUCUAUUUAACAAUAGUUGCUUACCAGUGAAAUCUAAAUAAAAUAAUAGGAGGAUAAAGAAAAAAGGAUUAAACCAUAUAAAUAUAUUUUUUUAAAUGCGAAAUGACAAGGUAACAGUCGAUGGGACAUCAUGUUGCUGAUGAAUAAAGGGGUAGAAUUUAUUUUGCUGAUGAAUAAAAAUAACAGUCGAGGAAAGUGGGAGAGGAACAUUCAGCGCCCGAUGUAAAGAUGUAAUUCGGUUCCGUUCAAAUAAAAAAGAGAAAAAAAACUCGGUUUGGUUCAAGCAAAAAAAGAGAAAAAUAUAUAGAGAAUUUAAGCCAAUUCGGAAGAGCCGUACUAAAUAAUGAUUGGUUCGGUUCAAAUAAAAAAAAAAUUGAUUCAGUUCAAGCAAAAAAUAUAUAUAUAUAUAUAUAGAAAACUUGAGGAGAUUCGGAGUGGAGCCCACACCCAAUAAUGAAGAAAAUAUUACUAUAUAACAAAUUUAGAGAGAAUAAUAUAUAUAUGUAUAUGUAUAUAAAUAUAGAUUCUUAUGCUAAAAAUAUAAAAUUAUACAACAAUUAAAUAUAAAUUUUUACAUUUUUAAACAACAGGUGGUAAAACCAAAAAAAAAAAAAAAUGCUAAACCACUUGGGAAGAGCAAUUUAAAGUUUUUUUUUGUUUUUUUUUAAUUCUCCAGUGAGUAAUGAAUAUCUUUUUAGGCACAAUAUGAAGUGAUUAAAUUAAUAGCCAUCAUGUGCUAAAGGUAAUGUUAUUGAUUCUAGUGUGGGGACAUCAUGUUGAGCUUUUGACCAAGUUCUUAUUUUCUUUUGAUAAAAAUUUAUAGAACUUAAUUGAACCAUAGACUGUUUCAAAAUUUACUAUCUGACCUUUUAAAAUUUUAAUUUAUUAUUUCAGUUAAUUAACGAGUCUUUUAUUUUAAAAUUUAAGUUUAUUUUUUAUUUUAAUAAAUUUAUAGUUAUGAGAAUUAUAUGAAGUAUUCUAACUAAAUCAGUAAAAAUAAACGAUGCAUUCAAAUUUUGAAAUCAAAUUAUCGUUAACUGACUUAAAUCAAACAAAUUAAAAGGUUGGAUAAUAAAAUUAGACUUUUGAAAGAUUGAGCUGUCGAUUUAAAAUAAUCCAUAGUUUUUGCUUUAGACAAGCUCGGUACAUUAUUAUCUUUUCAUUUUUAGCUAUAAUAAUUUAUCAAUUAAUUUUGAUGAAGUUUUAUAAAAUGCUCUACUUUCUAUAUAUAUAUAUAUAGAAUUGAGCUCCUAUGCUUUUAAAAGUACAAAGUUAUUGGUGCUUGUAGAUUUGUAGCCAUUGGAUUAAGAGAUAUGCGGUUAGGAUGAUGUGGGCCCCCCUAGGGUUGAGUGGAUGGCUGGUUGAAUAGUAUAAUCUAAUGGUUGAAAAUGAUUCGAGAAAUAGAUCUAACGGUAAAAAACUUACAAGUACCAAGUGCUUUGUGCUUUUACAAGCACCAUAACUGGACUCAUAUAUAUAUAUAUAUAUAUAUAUAUAUAUAUAUAUAUAUAUAUAUAUAUAUAGUGUUUAGUAUGUGGUGUACUAAAUUAAUGAAUGCAUGCUUUCACAUAGGUUUUCUCAUUUCACACAUUCACAAAUAUAUAAAGAAUAUACAAAAUGAUACCUUAUUAAAAACUUUUGAUAUAAUGUAGAUAUUAUAUUAUGUUUUGAGGAGAUUUGGUUUAUUUAGAGCAUGUUACAUGUUACAUGUUAGCACAUGGUAGCUUCCAUAUAUAAUGUAAAAACUACAUAUACUAGCUGUUGACUAUAUUAUUAUUCUAAAAAUAUUAGGCUCUUUAAAAUAAAAAUAAAUUUUUUAGGUCAAUGCUAAAAUUAGUCUAUUUUAUUGGUCAAACUAGUGAAAUAUCUUCAUUUGACAAUAGACAAAAUUAAAGUGCCAAUAACUCAUAUUUAGCCCAUCAAUCACACUCAAAAUAAAUAAGAAAGAGAAGAGGUUGAGUGUCAAUGAGAAAAAUAAAAAAGAAAAAGUGAAAAUUUAACCCAAACUACUAUUUUCAAUAAAGUUACUAUGAUUAUAUACUUGGGCCAUGAUAUUUAAAUUGAAGGGCAAAGUUGGUAUUAUUAUUUUAGGUCAAAAUGUAUAAAACUUGUCUGAAGUAUAUAUAAACCAAUUUAAUUCGACUGUCCAAUCUAUUAAAGUUUUGAUUUUAAUACCAAUCUUUUAAAUUAUUUGAUUUAAGUGAUAUGAUGCCUUUGUGAUACAAAAAUUAAACUAAUUGCUUAUUUUAAUAAAUUUAUUUAUGUAAAUUGAAUAUAAUAAUUUAUAAAAAUAAAUGACACAUUUAAAUUUUGAAGUUAAAAAAAUACUAAUUGGUUCAAAUAAAAUGAAUUAAAAGAUUAGACAAUAAAGUCAAAAUUUUUAAAGGUACGAUAGUCGAAUCCAAAAAAGUGAUAGUUAAGGUAUAUUUUAUACAUUUUUACCUAUUAUUUAUCUACACUAUUUUGGAGUGUUUAUACUUUAUAACCCCAAAAUCAUUAAUAUUUUUAUAAUAAUAAUAAAUAUUAUGAGCCAACCCACAUGUGACUCUAUAGUUUGAAAAGCCAAUGAACACUAAACAAUUAAGAGAAUAAUUAUCAUAAUUUUAAUGUAUUGCUUUAGAUGGUGAUCACAAGAGAUAAUUGUGACUCUUUUAUUUUUAUUUUUAAUUAUUUUUAUGUGAAAAUUCAAGUAUGUUAGGUGUGAUGAGAAAUUUACAUUUUACUAGUUUUAGGGGUCCUAAUUUUAGCAUAAUUUUACCAACUACUUGACCAAUGGGGUCAGUGAAUGACAUGAUGGAGAACCAAUUUUGGGAACAAAAGAAAAAAAAGAAAAAGAAAAAGAAAAAGUCAAAUGUUUAGAUAACUACAUUAUGAGAUAAUUUUCUCUUUACUUAUUAUGUUGAUUAUUAUUAUUAUACAUGUUUAAAUAUGACUAGUUAUGUGUAAGUUAAUAAUGUGACAUGAUUGAGAAAAUCUUUUUGAGCACCUAAUAAAAAGUUAAAAAAAAAAAAGAAAAAUAGGUUCAAAUUUUAAGACAACUACAAACUGAAUAAAAUUUUUCUUUACUUAUUUAUUUGAAAGUUAUGCUCAAAUUUAAACGAUCUGAGACAUCGUUUAAACUUGAAUGUUUGUGUCUCAUUUUUCUUAAAUGUUUCCUCAAAAGCAACCUUGUUGCAUUUUGAAUUGGAUCUAGGUAUUAAAACUUUAAACUCAAUGCAUUUUAAUUAACAUCACUGUGAUUUUGAUAGUGAAAUGUGAUAUUUCCUUCUUUUUUUUCUUUUUUUUUUUUUUUGUGCUUGAACAUAGUGUGGCUAAUGAACUUAAGAUGAGCCAAUUUGGGCCUCCAAUAAUUUAGGGCUCUAAAAAUGUUUACAAGCCCUGGUAUAAUAGUAAUGGACCAUAAAAUUCUAAAGUCUAAGCCCAAUAAAUUUGGCUUAAAACAAAAAAAAAAUCCAAUUUUACCUUAACGGGUUAUCGGAUCCUCCACUAUUCUCUUGCUCGCUCUGAAGUUUCUCACUACCAAGAAUUUAAGCGCCCAACAGCAAGGGCCGUAUCGUGCCGUAUCAUACCAAUAAGAUAUAAAUUUCACAACUCAAAACCUUCAAUUCUUUAAAUUAAGGAAAAAACUGCAAAUAGCAUGUUUCGUACUUUUGUUAUUUUAGUACGCUAUGGUUUAAAGUGUUUAAAUUUAGUACCCCGUGAUUUUAUUUUUCUCCUUUUAUUAUUCCAUCCACUAUUUUUUUUUUUUCGUUAAAUCAAUGACAAAGUUAAAAUAAAAUAUACUAAAUUGAAUAUUCAAUAAAUCUAAGUAGGAUAUUUGAAAUUUUUUGUAUAUAAUAUAACAAAAUAUAAACGAAGAAGCUAAUGAAAAGAAAAGAAAAAAAAACUAUAAAUACUAAAUUGAUACAUUUUAAAGCUAUGAUUGAUACAUAUAUUUCUUUGUUAUUCGUGUGUCAGCGAAAUGUACCGUGCCGUGCCAACAAUUUUUGGGCACCACCCGGUGCAACUAAACUUAAAUCCGUGGUCAAAAGUUACUCGUCCGCGACGUGCUCCGGCGCCGCGUCCGCUCCGCCGCGGCGGUGCUCGAGGCCCACGCCCUCCUCCUCUCCUCCGGUCUCCUCCCCCUCGACCCCGUCGCCGCCGCGCUCCUCCUCCGCUCCGCCGCCGCGUUCUCCCCCCUCCCCUAUCUCCUCCUCCUCCUCCGCCACCUCCCCGGAACCCUAAUCCCCCCCUUCGCCCUCUCCCCCAUCCUCCGCCGAGAAGCCCUGCGCCUGUAGCGCCACCGUGGCGCAGAGCAUGUCGAAGUCCCGCUCCCCCUCCCCACCCCGCUCCCCCCUCUCCUCCUCCCCUCCGCCGUCGCCGCCGCCGCAGCCGUCGGAGACAUCGCCGCCGGGGAGCAGCUCCACGCCCACGCCCUCCGCCGCGGCCUCGUCGCCGCGGCGCCGCGCGUCGCCAACGCGCUCCUCCACCUCUACGCCCGAUGCGGCCGCCCCGCCCUCGCCUGCGCCCGCCGCCUGUUCGACGAAAUGCCGCGCCGGGACCUCGUCUCCUUCCACUCCAUGGUCGGCGCCUACUCCCUCGCCGGCGACCUCCCCGCCGCGCGCGCGCUCUUCGACUCGAUGGAGCGCCGGAACGUCGUCUCCUGGAACGUCAUGAUCGGCGGGUACGUCAAGGCGAAGCUCCCCGAGCACGCUCUGGAGCUCUUCAGGGAGAUGAUGGGGGUGGGGAAUUUGAGGGGGAGCGCGACGACGAUGGUGAGCGUGGCGACUGCGUGCGCGAGGCUGGGGAGGCUAAACGGGGGCAGGGAGGUGCACGGGUUCUUCCUGCGGAACUUUGCAGAGGACAAUUUGGUGUUUUGGACUGCGGUGGUGGACUUGUACGGGAAGUGCCGUAGGGCGGCGGUCGCGCAGAAGGUGUUCGAUGGAAUGCCGGAGAGGAAUUUGGUGUGUUGGAACGCGAUGAUUGUGGGGCAUUGUGUUUACGGGGAUCCGGAGGACGGGCUCGCACUGUUUUGUGAGAUGGUGGGGGGAGGUGGGCUUAGAAUUUUCUUUCUUUUUCCUCACUUUGCUUUAUUAGAAGAGUAUAAUGUGCACGCCAUUCUUUAGUUGGUGUUCAUCCCAAGCGAAUCUGCUAGAGUUUUUGCAGUAGUGUUGUUUGAAGAAACCCUAAUAGCUUGUUGGUUUGGUUGAAAACCUGCAAACAUCUUUCCCUUGUUUAUAGAAGCAAAAACUCCAAUUUACUUUUGGGCUUAGAAGCUCAUUUCAACUUCUCCUCAUAGCCAAAAUCUCAAAACUUUUUAUUUGCCAAAUAUUUGGCUUUUGCUUUUUAAAGGAAGAAGUCGUUUAUUUGGAGGUUCUACUUCUUUUAUGGCAGGACGACUUUUUCUGUUUCUGUUUCACAGCCACAAGCUCUAGAUAUUUUGUUUGCCAAAUGCUUGACUUCAGCUUUUCUAUUGGAGAAGCUGUUUCAAAAGUUAGGCCAAAGACUUACUAGAGUAGUCAUUAAUUCGUUAUCGUGUGAAACAAGAAACAUCUAACGGUGUUUUUGACAUGAACAAAUUAUGUUUGAUUGCAUGAAUCCAACACUUACGCAAAGUUUACUGUUUUUCUUUCAGGCGAUUGUUGUGAUGAUGGUACAGAAGAAGGUAAUGCACGGAAAGAACGAAAACCAGUAUUCUCGCCGGACGAAGUUACCUUCGUGGGAGUCCUUUGCGCUUGUGCCCGAGCCGGCCUCCUAGUCGAGGGUAAAAGAUAUUUCGAACAAAUGACGGAACUAUACAAUCUUAAACCGAUGUUCGCUCACUAUUGGUGCAUGGCCAAUCUCUAUGGAGCUCUAGGGCUUUUGCAAGAAGCUGAGGAAGUGUUAAAAAGCAUGUCGGAGGAGACAAAAGCACUGGCAUUGGGUGGCUUGCUCGGUUUAUGCCGAUUUAGAGGAGAGGUGGAGUUGGGCGAACGAAUAGCCUUGAGGUUAAUCGAAUUGGAACCCAAUAAUGGUAUGUACUAUGCGUUGUUAUGUAGCGUUUAUGUCGCAGCAGGUAGAUGGGAUGAAGCUCAGAAGGUGAAGGCGAUGAUGAAGGAAAAAGCAGUGAGGUUUAGGCCUGGUCAUAGGCUUACAAAUUUGAAUGAGAUUGUUCACAAGUUUAAAGUUGGGGAUAGGUCCCAAAUGCAUUCAAAGGAGAUUUACAUGAUACUGGAUGACUUAGCCACGAGGCUAAGGUUAAAAAGCACCGAAGAUGGUUAAAAACAAAAGCAUUGGGUAGUGGUUUCGAUGUCCUAAUUUGGGAUCAUAAUGGUGGCACUUCAGAAGAGGUAACGUCGGGUUUUUGGAGAGUUGCCGAUGCUCAUCGAUGAAGUGGGUUUUCGGUUUAUUUAUCAGUCGGAAUGCUUUUCAUAGCAUGUGGUCAACAUUGCUGAUGACGAAAACUUGCGAAGAAUUUUUUUGUAAAUACAAUUGAUUACAAGAUCUUCAGCUUCUAAAUGUAUCGAGUCAAGAUUCUGAGAUUCGCUGAAAUCAUGAUGCUGAGGUGAAAUCAAAUUUUACUGAAGAUUUCAGGAGAAUCGUUUAUGAGUUUGGCUGAAACAUGAGCCAUUUUCUUGCAGCGCCAUUGAUUUUUCUUACUGAUGGUAUCAUCCUGCCCCAAAAAGCUGCUAAAAUUAGGUUUUUCUUUGGGCUUAUCUGACCAGAACUUCAUAUAUAUGACUGCAAGGCUUUCUCUUACAAUUAGUAUCAUUCAUUUUCUUAGUGAUGAAGGGGCUAAAUUGUAGAGGUAUUUUCACCUUUGUUUAGCUUAAAGUAGAACACAGUGCAUUACACUCGUGAAAUAAAAUUCUGAUAGCUGUUUUUUUGAUAUCGCACUCAUGGUUGGCAAUAAAAUUAACAAUUUGGUGAUUUUUUUUUUUCAUGGUAUUGAGCACAUUUCCUCUGAUCUCGAUAACCACAUUGUUGUUAUGACUGUCAAAAGUAGCGGGUGACUCGGCAAUUAGACUCAGUUGGUUUUCGCAUUUUAUUGUUCUGCCUUUAUCUAUUCUCUCUGUUUACAUAAGCUCGAAGAGACGAUCUUUUGCAAGUUCAUUAGAAAUUUAUCUGGAAUUCGAGCUCUACAUGAAAGUUUCAGAUCCUUUUUGCAUUAUUUUCUCUGUUAUGGGUCAUCUUAGUGGUCUCCUUUAAUAACAAUAACAUCUACUGUAGGUGUGAUUUUGAAAUUUGCAUAAAACUUAAUUUUUAUGAGGAAGCAUCUUUCUGAAACUUAAAAAAAAGGAGUUAAAACAAAGUUCCUCAUGUGUGCAUAAUUCAGCAUGAGAUAUUUUCGAAGACGAAGCAAAUUUGUUAAAGAAGUAGAAAACCCCUUAAAUUAAUAUCAUGGUUUUCUCUUUUGUCACCGCAAGAAAUAAAAAACAUUACCUUCUUAAAACUAUUAGCUUUUCAUCACUUCGCAUGCGUGUGUGUGUGUAAUAAGAUAAAAUUUUGGUUUCAAUAUUUCAGAAGAAAAGUGAAGAUCUUACUAUCUAAAGCUGAUUCCUGCAACUAAACCAAAAAUGCAUACUUAGGUGAAGUGAAGCAUAACAAUUUUCACGAACAAUUGGAGAGUUUUCUGACAAUCCAUCAUCCUGGUUUAAGGUUUUACAAUCCAAAAUAAAUCAAACAGUUUGAAUUUCGAUCAUCAAUUAAAUGAUCGAAAAAAUAAUUUAUUGAAAAAAAUAAUGACACUAAAAAUGUGUGGCAUCUUUUACGUGGAAAUGAAGGGCUGAUCUCUACUUCCCAAUUGCUGCUAUAAACUCCACUGCUACUUUCAGUGCAUUAGUAGAAGCUAAAUCACUUAGAGCUGUGGAUGACCAAUUUGCAUCUCCACCCGCCAAAUCCGAUACUCCGCGGAAUACAGCAACAGGUACAGAAAUAGACAUAGCAGUCUGUAUAAUCAAAGUAUUGUUAAGAUUAGUUGUCAAUUACAUAGUUUUGUAUGAAGUCUCUUAGUCAACAAGAGAUUAUCUUAAAAAGGGAACAACCAAAGCUAGUUUUUUGGGCAUUGAUUCACUCUUUAUAUUGACAAAAUUUUGGUAUCUGAUUCAUGAGUUAUCGCUAGAAGAACAUACGAUUUUCAAGCAUAGAAAAUUUGAAUUUUUUGCUUGUUUAGUGAUUGACUUGUGCUUUUGGAGUAGAGAAGCUGUUCAAGAAGUCAGGCUAAACAAAACACGCACACACGCGCGCGCGCGCACACACAAUUACGAUGGCACAUGUUCAUGAAGAGUCUGUUUUGCUAAAUUACAGAUGAAAAUUUAACAUAUUUAAGUUUCUCUACAAUGUUUAAUCUUAGUGAAAGGCGAAGAAGCUGAAAAAUUCAAUUACAGAGUUAUUUUUCUUUUGCUCUUUUUCUAUGAUUUUGGGGGUUAUCCCCAUUUCACUUCGAAAAUUAACCAAAUAGUUGCUGCCAAUAAUUGGCAGAGAAGAAAAAGUCGAUAAAAUACUGAAGUUUAGUCGUAAAUUGAGCACAUUUCAUGGAUUGAAUGCAAUAUACCAUUGUAUGUAGAAAGAGUAGAAAAUGACUAUGCCAUGAAGUUGAUGCCAUUUAAAAAUUUUUCAUGGUUGUAGGGGGGUUAUUGGGAUUCAAGGUGUCUGAUUUACCAUAAUCACAGCUGCACUCUCCUCAUCCACCGUCGAGACUUCGAAUUCCUUAAAAAGGAACUCUCUAUAUGCCGCGUUGUCUACAAACACAUCGGCAGUCGAUGCUUUGAGCCCGAAGACUACUUUCGGGGCCUCCGGCAAGCAGUAAGUUUUGUUAACACAUCUUUCCAGUUGCACCUUCAAUAACGAAAACCUUAUUAGCUCAGGAAUAUCUAGAUUCUUCUAGUUUUGUAGAUCAAGGCCGACGAAAUGGAUCCUCAGUUUGGGUGGUCAAAAAAUGACUUUCGAUUGUUAAAUCUUUCUCAAAAGGUUUGAAAAAUUUUCAACUCAUUAAAUAAUUGUCCAAAUUUUCAGUUUAAUGUGCUCAUCAGAACACAGUUUAGUUCUCUUUGGCAUAUAAAAAGUAGUUGAAGCUACAAAGUAAUUGUCGCCAUCUAGACUAAAAACAAAAUCAGCACUGAGAGUUAUUCUGAUGUUAAGAUUAGUAAGGAAAUGUUGAUCUGAAAUAUCUGAUCUGUUUCGUACCUUAAGCUGUUCUGCGACUCGAAACCAUGCUGCAUUCACUUCUAGCCAGAAUACUUCCUCCAUUGGCUUGCCAACUGAGUAGAACUCCUCAGUCUUGAACUCCACUGAAGAUAACAAGUUCGUCCCCUCCGUCGGUACAUUGUAUUCUCCAAACAUCAGAUCCCGAGAUGGCUCACUUGUCGACCCAAAUUUCUAAACCGAGAGAACAGAACAAAGAUGUACGGAUUUUAACACACUCUCGAAAAUGAAAUUCAGGAGAACAAAAUUCUGAUGUUGUUGCAAGUGCUCUUUCAAAAUUGCUACUGGUAAUCUCAUAAAUGUGUUUCUAACAUCUCUGUGGAAUCAAAACUUUUGCAGAAACAUUAAAUGGAAGAGGGGCGUUACCGUCCAUUCCCAAGAUCCGGUGUACGCGACAAACUUCGGGACGCUGACAUCGCCGCAGGACAAUGAAUCGUUCGCGCUUCCGGCCGUCCCGUAGUGCACGAUUCCUCUGAUGUUAAAAACAUCCAGAAGAAUCUGUACUGUGAUCCCUGCAUUCAACUGGAAUAUCACGAACAGGAAAAAGGUAAUUUCAGUGCUCUUAUUACAAUUUUACACGUAGAACAAAAGAACUCGCAACAUGUAAGUAGCUAAAUAAUGUAUCUACCUAUGUGUAAUGCUAUUAAUUAUGUCAAAUUAUAACUGAAGUGACUCAAAAAAUAAAGGUUACAAAUUGGGUUAAUUAUAAAUUUGAUAUCAUAAUAAGCUCUGUUCACUUGAGACAUGUAAAUCAUAUGGAACAAAAAAAAGAGAAAUUGUAUAGCAUCUAGUUUUACUUGACAAAGUGAACUUUAGUUUCAGAUAAUUCAUUCAACAAUGUAAGAUCCCAAAUUCCAUAACAUGUAAUACAUUAAAUUUAUGUACUUUUAGUGAUCAAAGAGCUUUUAUGUUACUUCUUUACUGAUAAUCAUAACAAAACAAGUAAUUGCACUAAAACUUCAUCUAAUUCUUGGAAGAAUAACGUUGUAGUGUUUUCGCAGAAAUGGAAAAAAAAAAAAAGAUUCGAUAAAUGCGAAGAACUCGUAGCAGAAAACAAAUACCCUUCGUUGUCCCGACAUUACGUAGAUGACAUCGACAUCUUGAAUUGUUCCGAUAUGAAAUCGUCGUCCUGAACCCCUACAAAUUUCGAUUUCGUAAAAGAUGUUGGCACCAUUAUAAGCACAAAAAAAAGAAAAGUUGAAGAGCUUAACUACAAUGCAACAAUUAGACAUGCUAUGAUAAGGAGCAAAAUUUCUACAAAAAUAUUCUAUCAAUUACAUAUGUUACAUGUAUAUAUAUAUAUAUAGAGAGAGAGAGAGAGAGAGAGAGAGAGAGAGAGAGAGAGAGAGAUAGAGUUGAGCUCCUGUAAAAGUAAGGAAGCAUUUGUGCUUAUGACUUUUUGAUCGUCAGAUCGCCUCAAUAUCCGUGCAGUAUUAUUAACGGUGUAUUCCAUUAAAUUUUCUUUACUAGUAUUAUAUGAAUUUUUAACCAAUUUGAUGGCUAAAAAAUUAUAAGUACGUUGAUCUCCUAUGUUUUAAAAGCACAUGAGCUCAACUCUCUCUCUCUCUCUCUAUGUUCUUUGCACUUUGGGCUUGAUUACAAUUUAAUACAGUGAAGCUGAAAGUGAGUUUUGCUUUUUACACUGUACCAACUCUUUUUGUAUUCUUUUUGUUAUUUUUACCAAACAAUCCUUGCACUUUGGAAAAAUUGAGAGAAGCAUUAGCAUGAAGGGGUCAGUAGGGAUGCAAACCGAUCCGGGUUUGGUGGAGCUCCCGCCCCGAUCCGCCCCGACGGGGCCAGUAAAUGGGAGAAAAUAAACGGAUUCGGGGCAGGAAAUAAGGUAAAUUUUAUGAUCCGAGAUGGAUUUGGGGUGAGAAAUUUUGACCCGCUCCAAAUCCGCCCCGCCAUGAUCCGCCCCGAAAAUUAUUUAUAUUUUAAAAAAUAUUCCUAAAAAAUAAUAUAUUUAUAAAAAAGUUAAAAUACAAAUAAGUUAGUACUAUCAUUUUUAAUGUAUUUGAAAUUUUUGAAUUUUGUUUUGAAUGUAAUUGAUAUUUUUAUUUUUAAUAAUUAAUAUUGUUAAAUUAAUAUAUAUAAUAUUAUUAAAAUUAUUAUUAUAUUUUACAAAAUAUUAAUAAUAUUAUAAUUUUAUAAAAAAUAUUAGUUGGGGCGAAUUUUCGGGGUGCCGGCGGAGCGGUUACAAGGCGGGGCGGAUUACGGAUGUAUUUUUUAACCGCGUCACGGAUUCUGGGCGAGGCGGGCGAGAUUUUUCGCUAGAUGCGGGGCCGGAGGCGGGGUAGGGCUCCCGCCCCGACAUCCGCCCCGUUUCCAUCCCUAGUGGUCAGCGCGGUAAAGAGUAAAGCUAGAAUACUUUUAGAAAUAAAUGAGACCGUUUACUUCUGUCUUUUCUGGUGAUUGAACAUCUGAAUCGACGAAUGACACCGUUAAGCAUGAAGUUUAGGCGCUAUGAAUUUUUAAUGGGCAACAUAUAGUGAAUUUGAGGUCAUUUUAUCAUUUUGUGAAUGUUAUAGUAAUAUCAUAAAACUUGGUUUCUAUAAAGUUCAAAUUGCUUAUAUCGUGUUUAACAAUUCUGAUCAUCAAUUUUGAUAUUUCGAUAUUGAAAAUGACCUGCAUUGUAACUUUAGUCAAAAUAUGUGUACGUGUUUAAAAAUUUAUUAUAGUUUGUGGGUAUUUGAGUAUAAUUUAUCUCAUUGCCGGUAAAAGAGUAUUCAAAUCGACUAUUGAUGUUCUUAAACAUGAUUUGGUACGGUAAUACGCUAACUUUUUGAGAGUCGAACUUUUUUUUUUUUCUUUUUUUUUUUCUUCAAUACUAUUUUACGCAGAAGAAAAAUUAUAAAAAUUUGCACGAUUUUUAAAGCAACUCAUGUCUCACUUAUUAACGUUGUUAAUUUUUAGUUCAAAAUUUUCAUCAUUGAAAAAAUAAAUUUUAUAUUAAAAAAAAAUGUCUUUUUCGGUUCCAAAAUGAACGGUCCGGUACGGUCGAACCAAACCAUCCGGUUCAGUCUGUGGGUGAAACUGUUUCAGCGAGUCAACGAGAGAUUGAACGGUGUGGAUCUCUCGUCGGGAACGAACGUACCGUAGAGAUCGACGGAGGGGAUGAGAGAGGAGGGGACGAAGGCGCCGGAGGAUCGGACGGCGGCGGCCUCGGCGGGGUACGCCAUCACGAGCGCGAUGAACGGCCCUCGUUCGCCGUUGACCCGGUCAACGGCGGAGCGGAGCGGGUGCGUCCACGGUAGACACGCGGAGCACCGGAAGAGGAGGAGGAGGAGGGGGGUGAGGGGGAGAGAUCGUAGCCGUUGGAUCCGGAGGGGUUGGGUGGAUCGGACGGCCAUGAUUAAGAGAGAGAGAGUGUGCGUGUGAGAGAGGGAGUGAGAGAUGUGAGUCGAUUGUUUUGGAUUUGUGUUCAUCGAUGUUGCUUUAAUAUCUGUGCACCCUACAUGAUGAACGGUGGAUGUAGGUAUCUUACGGAUCCUCGUUAUAUAUAUAUAUAUAUAUAUAUAUAUAUAUAUAUAUAUAUAUAUAUAUAUAUAUAUAUAGAUAUAGACCUUUUGUACUCAUAACUUUUCGGCGUUCAGAUGAAAAAAUGUGCGAUUGGGAUGAGAGUGGUUACGGGUUAGGUUGAUAAUGGACCCCUAAGGUUGAGUGGGUGGUUAGUUGAAUAGUAAAUCUAACGGAUGAAAAUAAUUAAAGAAUAGAUUAAACGGUAAAAAAUUUAUGAUUACAAAGACUAUACUCAUAAAAGUAUAGUAACCGAACUUAUAUAUAUAUAUAUAUAUAAUCAUCCACGAGGAUCACGUAGCCGUAAGAUACCUACAUCCACCGUUCAUCAUGUAGGGUACACAGAUAUUAAAGCAACAUCGAUGAUAUAUAUAUUAUAUAUAUAUAUAUAUAUAUAUAUAUUAUUAUAUAUAUAUAUAUAUAUAACGAGGAUCCGUAAGAUACCUACAUCACCGUUCAUCAUGUAGGGUGCACAGAUAUUAAAGCAACAUCGAUGAACACAAAUCCAAAACAAUCGACUCAAUCUUCUCACUCCCUCUCUCACACGCACACUCUCUCUCUCUUAAUCAUGGGCGUCCAUCCACCAAACCCUCCGGAUUCCAACGGCUACGUAUCUUCCCCUCACCCCCUCCUCCUCCUCCUCUUCGGUGCUCCCGUGUCUACCGUGGACGCACCCGCUCCGCUCCGCGUUUGACCGGUCACGUCACGGCGAACGAGGGCCGUUCAUCGCGCUCGUGAUGGCGUACCCCGCGAGGCCGCCGCCGUCCGAUCCUCCGCGGCCUUCGUCCCUCCUCUCUCAUCCCUCCGUCGAUCUCUACGGUACGUUCGUUCCGACGAGAGAUCCACACCGUUCAAUCUCUCGUUGACUCGCUGAAACAGUUUCACCACAGACUGAACGUGAUGGUUUGGUUCGACCGUACGGACCGUUCAUUUUGGAAUCCGAAAAAGACAUUUUUUUUUAAUAUAAAAUUUAUUUUUUCAAUGAUGAAAAUUUUGAACUAAAAAUUAACAACGUUAAUAAGUGAGACAUGAGUUGCUUUAAAAUCGUGCAAAUUUUUAUAAUUUUUCUCUGCGUAAAUAGUAUUGAGAGAAAAAAAAAAGAAAAAAAAAAAGUUCGACUCUCUCAAAAAGUUAGCGUAUACCGUACCAAAUCAUGUUUAAGAACAUCAAUAGUCGAUUUGAUACUCUUUUACCGGCAAUGAGAUAAAUUAUAUCAAAUACCCACAAACUAUAAUAAAUUUUUAAACACGUACACAUAUUUUGACUAAAGUUACAAUGCAGGUUCAUUUUAAUAUCGAAAUAUCAAAAUUGAUGAUCAGAAUUGUUAAACACGAUAUAAGCAUUUGAACUUUAUAGAAACCAAGUUUUAUGAUAUUACUUAACAUUCACAAAAUGAUAAAAUGACCUCAAAUUCACUAUAUGUUGCCAUUUAAAAUUCAUAGCGCCUAAACUUCAUGUCUUAGACGGUGUCAUUCGUCGAUUCAGAUGUUCAAUCACCAGAAAAGACAGAAGAUAAACCGUCUCAUUUUAUUUCUAAAAGUAUUCUAGCUUUACUCUUUACCGCGCUUGACCACUAGGGAUGGAAACGGCGGGAUGUCGGGGCGGGAGCCCACCCCGCCUCCGCCCCGAUUGGAAAAAUCUUCGCCCGCCUCGCCCAGAAUCCGUGACGCGGUUAAAAAAUACAUCCCGUAAUCCGCCCCGCCUUGUAAGCCGCUCCCGCCGGCACCCCGCAAAUUCGCCCCCAACUAAUAUUUUUUAUAAAAUUAUAAUAUUAUUAAUAUUUUGUAAAAUAUAAAUAAUAAUUUUAAUAAUAUUAUAUAUAUUAAUUUAACAAUAUUAAUUAUUAAAAAUAAAAAUAUCAAUUACAUUCAAAACAAAAUUCAAAAAUUUCAAAUACAUUAAAAAUGAUAGUACUAACUUAUUUGUAUUUUAACUUUUUUAUAAAUAUAUUAUUUUUAGGAAUAUUUUUUAAAAUAUAAAUAAUUUUCGGGGCGGAUCAUGGCGGGGCGGAUUUGGAGCGGCGAGUCAAAAUUUCUCACCCCAAAUCAUCUCGGGAUCAUAAAAUUUACCUAUAUUUCCUGCCCCGAAUCCGUUUAUUUUUCUCCAUUUACUGGCCCCGUCGGGGCGGAUCGAGGGCGGGAGUCCACCAAACCCGGAUCGGUUUGCCAUCCCUACUGACCCCUUCAUGCUAAUCUUCUCUCAAUUUUUCCAAAGUGCAAGGAUUGUUUGGGUUAAAAAUAAAAAAGAAUAAAAAGAGUUGUCGUACGUUAAAAAGCAAACUCACUUUUCAGCUUCACUGUAUUAAAUUGUAAUCAAGCCCAAAGUGCAAAGAAACUAAGAGAGAGAGAGAGAGAGUUGAGCUCAUGUGCUUUAAAACAUAGGGAGAUCAACGUACUUAUAAUUUUUUAGCCAUCAAAUUGGUUAAAAAUUCAUAUAAUACUAGUAAAGAAAUUUAAUGGAAUACACCGUUAAUAAUACUGCACGAUAUUGAGGCGAUCUGACGAUCAAAAAGUCAUAAGCACAAAUGCUUCCUUACUUUUACAGGAGCUCAACUCUAUCUCUCUCUCUCUCUUCUCUCUCUCUCUUCUCUCUCUCUCUCUCUAUAAUAUAUAUGUAUAUACAUGUAACAUAUGUAAUGAGUAGAAUAUUUUGUUGAAAUUUUGCUCCUUAUCAUAGCAUGUUAAUUGUUGUUGUAGUUAGCUCUUCAACUUUUCUUUUUUUUUGUCUUAUAAUGGUGCCAACAUCAUUUACGAGAAUCGAUUUGUAGGUUCAGGACGCGAUUCGUUUAUAUCGGAACAAUUCAAGAUGUCGAUGUCAUCUACGUUAAUGUCUGGACAACGAAGGGUAUAUUGUUUCUGCUACGAGUUCUUCGCAUUUAUCGAAUCUUUUUUUUUUUUUCCAUUUCUGCAGAAAACACUACAACGACGUUAUUCUUCCAAGAAUUAGUGAAGUUUUUAGUGCAAUUACUUGUUUUGUUUAUGAUUAUCAGUAAAAGAAGUAAACAUAAAGCCUCUUUAUCACUAAAAGUACAUAAAUUUAAUGUAUUACAUGUUAUGGAAUUUGGGAUCUUACAUUGUUGAAUAUUAUCUGAAACUAAAGUUCAUUUUGUCAAGUAAAACUAGAUGUCUAUCAAUUCUCUUUUUUUUGUUCCAUAUGAUUUACAUGUCUCAAGUGAAACAGAGCUUUUUGAUAUUCAAAUUUAUAAUUAACCCAAUUUGUAACCUUUUUUUUUUUGAGUUCACUUCCAGUUAUAAUUUACAUAAUUAAUAGCAUUACACAUAGAGUAGAUACAUUAUUUAGCUAACUUACAUGUUGCGAGUUCUUUUGUUCUACGUGUAAAUUUGUAAUAAGAGCACUGAAAUUACCUUUUUCCUGUUCGUGAUAUUCAAGUUGAAUGCAGGGGAUCACAGUACAGAUUCUUCUGGAUGUUUUAACAUCAGAGGGAAUCGUGCACUACGGGAGGCCGGAAGCACUGCGAACGAUUCAUUGUCCUGCUGGCGGAUGUCAGCGUCCCGAAGUUUGUCGCGUAACACCGAUCUUGGAAUGGACAGUAACGCCCCUCUUCCAUUUAAGUUUCUGCCAAAAGGUUUUGAUUCCACAGAGAUGUUUAGAAACACAUUUAUUGAGAUUACCAGUAGCAAUUUUGAAAGAGCACUUGCAACACAUCAGAAUUUUGUUCUCCUGAAUUUCAUUUUCGAGAGUGUGUUAAAAUCCGUACAUCUUUGUUCUGUUCUCUCGGUUUAGAAUUUGGGAUCGCAAGUGAGCCAUCUCGGGAUCUGAUGUUUGGAGAAUACAAUGUACCGACGGAGGGGACGAACUUGUUUCUUCAGGUGGAGUUCAAGACUGAGGAGUUCUAUCUCAGUUGGCAAGCCAAUGGAGGAAGUAUUCUGGCUAGAAGUGAAUGCAGCAUGGUUUCGAGUCGCAGCAACAGCUUAAGGUCGCAAACAGAUCAGAUAUUUUCAGAAUCAACAUUUCUUACUAAUCUUAACAUCGAAUACUCUCAGUGCUGUGAUUUUUGUUUUAGUCUAGAUGCGACAAUUACUUUGUAGCUUCAACUACUUUUUUAUGCCAAAGAGAACUAAAACUGUGUUCUGAUGAGCACACAUAAAACUAAAAUUUGGACAAUUAUUUAAUGUAGUUUGAAAAUUUUCAACCUUUUGAGAAAGAUUUAAACAUCGAAAGUUCAUUUUUUGACCACCCAAACUGAGGUAUCCAUUCGUCGGCCUUGAUUCUACAAAACUAGAAGAAUCUAGAUAUUCCUGAGCUAAUAAGGUUUUCGUUAUUGAAGGUGCAAACAUGAAAGAUGUGUAACAACACUUACUGCUUGCCGGGAGCGCCCGAAAGUAGUUCUUCGGGCUCAAAGCAUCGACUGCCGAUGUGUUGUAGACAACGCGGCAUUUAUAGAGAGUUCCUUUUUAAGGAAUUCGAAGUCUUCGACGUGUGGAUGAGGAGAGUGCAGCUGUGAUUAUGGUAAAUCAGAACCUUUGAAUCCAAUAACCCCCUACAACCAUGAAAAUUUUUUAAAUGCGACUCAAACUUCAUGGCAUAGUCAUUUUCUACUCUUUCUACAUUACAAUGGUUAUUGCAUUCAAUCCAUGAAUGUGCUCAAUUUACACUAAACUUCAGUAUUUUAUCGACUUUUCUUCUCUGCAAUUAUUUGCAGCAACUAUUGGUUAAUUUCGAAGUGAAAUGGGGAUAACCCCCAAAAUCAUAGGAAAAAGAGCAAAAGAAAAAUAACUCUGUAAUUGAAUUUUUCAGCUUCUUCGCCUUUCACUAAGAUUAAACAUUGUAGAGAAACUUAAAUAGUUAAAUUUUCUCUGUAAUUUAGCAAAACGAGACUCUUCAUGAACAUGUGCCAUCGUAAUUGUAUGUGUGCGCGCUGCUGCGCUGUGUGUCCUGUCGGCUGUUUUGUUUAGCCUGACUUCUUGAACAGCUUCUCUUACUCCAAAAGCACAAGUCAAUCAUAAACAAGCAAAAAAUUCAAAUUUUCUAUGCUUGAAAAUCGUAUGUUCUUCUAGCGAUAACUCAUGAAUCAGAUACCAAAAUUUUGUCAAUAUAAAGAGUGAAUCAAUGUCCCAAAAAACUAGCUUUGGUUGUUCCCUUUUUAAGAUAUCUCUUGUUGACUAAGAGACUUCAUAACACUAUGUAAUUGACAACUAAUCUUAACAAUACUUUGAUUAAUAAGACUGCUAUGUCUAUUUCUGUACCUGUUGCUGUAUUCCGCGAGUAUCGGACUUUGCGCGGGUGGAGAUGCAAAUUGUCAUCCACAGCUCUAAGUGAUUUAGCUUCUACUAAUGCACUGAAAGUAGCAGUGGAGUUUAUAGCAGCAAUUGGGAAGUAGAGAUUCAGCCCUUCAUUUCACGUAAAAGAUGCCACACAUUUUUAGUGUCAUUAUUUUUUUCAAUAAAUUAUUUUUUCGAUCAUUUAAUUGAUGAUCGAAAUUCAAACUGUUUGUUUAUUAUUGGAUUGUAAAACUUAAACCAGGAUGAUGGAUUGUCAAAACUCUCCAAUUGUUCGUGAAAAUUGUUAUGCUUCACUUCACCUAAGUAUGCAUUUUUGGCUUUUAGUUGCAGGAAUCAGCUUUAGUAUGUAAGAUCUUCACUUUUUCUUCUGAAAUAUUGAAACCAAAAUUUUACUUAUUACCACACACCGCAUGCGAAGUGAUGAAAAGCUAAUAGUUUUAAGAAGGUAUGUUUUUUAUUUUCUGCGGUGACAAAAGAGAAAACCAUGAUAUUAAUUUAAGGGGUUUUCUACUUCUUUAACAAAUUUGGCUUCGUUCUUCGAAAAUAUCUCAUGCUGAAUUAUGCACACAUGAGGAACUUUGUUUUAACUCCUUUUUUUUAAGUUCAGAAAGUGCUUCCUCAUAAAAAUUAAGUUUUAUGCAAAUUCAAAAUCACACCUACAGUAGUAUGUUAAUUGUUAUUUAAGGAGACCACUAAGAUGACCCAUAACAGAGAAAAUAAUGCAAAAAGGAUCUGAAACUUUCAUGUAAGAGCUCGAAUUCCAGAUAAAUUUUCUACAUGAACUUGCAAAAGAUCGUUCUCUUCGGAGCUUAUGUAAACAGAGAGAAUAGAUAAAGGCAGAACAAUAAAAUGCGAAAACAACUGAGUCUAAUUUCCGAGUCACCGGCCUACUUUUGACAGUCAUAACAACAAUGUGGUUAUCGAGAUCAGAGGAAAUGUGCGUCAAUACCAUGAAAAAAAAAAUCACCAAAUUGUUUAAUUUAUUGCAACCAUGGUGCGAUAUCAAAAAACAGCUAUCAGAAAUUUAUUUCACGAGAUUAAAUGCACAUGUGUUCUACUUUAAGCUAAACAAAGGUGAAAAAUACACUCUACAAUUUAGCCCCUUACAUCCUAAGAAAUGAAAUGAUACUAAUUGUAAGAGAAAGCCUUGCAGUACAUAUAUAUAGAAGUUCGGUCAGAUAAAGCCCCAAGCAAAACCUAAUUUUUAGCAGCUUUUUGGGGCAGGAUGAUACCAUCAGUAAGAAAAAAUCAUGGCGCUGCAAGAAAAUGGCUCACUGUUUCAGCCAACUAUAAAACGAUUCUCCUGAAAUCUUCAGUAAAAUUUGAUUUCACUCAGCAUCAUUUCAGCGAAUUUCAGAUAUCUUGACUCAGUACAUUUAGAAGCUGAAGAAAUCUUGUAAUACAUAUUUACAAAAAUUCUUCGCAAGUUUCGUCAUCCAGCAAUGUUGACCACAUGCUAUGAAAAGCAUUCCGACUGAUAAUAAACCGUGAAACACCACUUCACUCGUAUGACAUACCAUCUCCAAAAACCCGACGUUACUCUCUUCUGAAGUGCCACCAUUAUUAUGAUCCCAAAAAUUAGGACAUCGAACCACAUACCAAUGCUGAUUUGUUUUGUAACCAUCUCGGUGUUUUUUAACCUUAGCCUCAGUGCUAAGUCAUCCAGGAUGAUGGUAAUCUCCUUUGAAUGAUUUGGGACCUAUCCCAACUUUAAACUUUGUGAACAAUCCAUUCAAACUGUAAGCUAUGACCAUCCAGCCUAAACUCUACUGCUCCUUUCAUUCGCCUUCACUCUUGAGCUUGCAUACCCAUCUACCUUGCUUGACUACGUCAUAACAACGCAUAGUACAUACUUUUUAGGCAUCAUUUGUAUCAUUCGAUUAACCUCAAGCUAUUCGUAUGCACUCCCUUUCUAAAAUCGGCAUAACCGAGCACCACCUUAAUGCCACUGCUUUUGCUCUCCGACAUGCUUUUUAACAUUACCUACAGCUUCUUCCGCAAAACCUACGACCAUAGAGAUUGGCCACUGACCACAUAGGACGAACAUCGGUUUAAGAUUGUAUAGUUCCGUUCAUUGGUCGAAUAUCUUUUACCCUCAGGCAACUAGGAGAGCCGGCUCGGGCCAGCAACGCAAAGCGACUCCCACGAAGGUACUUCGUCGGCGAGGAAUACUGGUUUCGUCUUUCCAGCUGCAUUAACUUACUUCUGUACAUCAUCCACAACAAAUCGUCCUGAAAGAAAACAGUAAACUUGUGAUAGUUUGGAUUCGAAUGCCAAUCUAAACAUAAUUUGUUCAUUGUCAGAAAACAACCGUUAAUGUUUCUUGUUUACACACGAUAAACGAUAUAAUGACUACUUAGUACUAGGUUUUUGGCCUAACUUUUCUGAAACAGAUUCUCCAAUAGCAAAACUUGAAGUCAGCAAUUUGGCAAACAAAUUCUAGGAGCUUGAUGGCGCUGUGAAGCAGCAAACAAAAAAGUCGUCCUCCAUCAAAAGAAGAGAACCUACAAAUAAACGACUUCUUCCUUUUAAAAACGCACAAAGCAAAUAUUUGGCAAUCAAAAAAGGUCUUUGAGUAUUUGGCUAUGAGGAACAGAUUGGAAAUGAGUCUCUAAGUCCCCAAAGUAAAUGGCAGUUUUGCUUCUAUAAACAAGCGGAAGAUGUUUGAGGUCUUCUCAACCAAACAACAAGUAUUAGGUUCUUCAAAACACUAGCAAUCUGCAGAUUCCGCUUUCAGGAACAACCACCUAAGAAUUGUAGCGUACAUUGACUCUUAAUAAAGUUCGUGAGAAAAAGGAAAGAAAAUUUUUUAACCAGUCCCCACAUCCUCCACCAAAAACAGUGCGAGCGCCGACUCCUCGGAUCCCCGUAAAACAAUGCCCACAAUCAUCGCGUUCCAACACCUCCCACAAAUUUCUCUCUUCCGUUUNNNNNNNNNNNNNNNNNNNNNNNNNAUAAAAGUAUAGUAGCCCCAACCUAUAUAUAUAUAUAUAUAUAUAUAUAUAUAUAUAUAUAUAUAUAUAUAUAAUGUCAUAGCUUUAUAUAUCUUUUUAAAAAUGUAUGUCUAUGAAGUUGGGUUGUCAAUCCAGCUCACUGUUUGUAAGUCAGCUCAUAUAGAGCUUGAGAUCGAAUCGCUCAUUUAGUAAACGAGUCGAAUGCGAUCUGAAUUUUUCAGCUCGUUUAAUAAACGAGCCGAACACGAGCUGGGAUCAGCUUGCUCGUGUUCGGCUCGAUAACAGUUCGGAUACAUAUAAUUUAUUUUCUAUAUAUAUAUUUUUUUUCUGACCUUUUAACUUGUUCGUAAGAUAAAUGAGCUGAAUAUGAGCUGAAUUUUUCAACUUGAUACUUUAGUGAGCCAGCUUGAGAUCAGCUUGUUUAUGAAACAAACUGAACACGAGUCAACCCCGACGGCUUGCUCGUAUUCUGCUCGUUGACACCCCUACUAUGAAGCAAGAAAAUUACAUAUUUAUCCCCGGAAAGUUAGAUAUUUUGCAAAUAUAUUUCUCUUCAUUUAUUGAUAGCUAAAAUUACCUUUUUUUUAUAUUAUUAUUUUCUCCCCUAGAAAAUGACCGUUUUAUUAAUUACACUUAAUAUUAUUAAAUAUUUUUAUUCCGAGUUUUAUGUUACUGUAUGUGAAAUCAUAAAUUAUAAAUCCUUAAAAAUUUUGUAGAAAAAGAUAUUUCUUUUUCCCAGGAGUAUAAUAUAUUGUUAUGAACUAUGAAAAUUUAAUAGUUAAUUAAUGGCAAUAAACUUGUGGAGAUAAAUUUGUAUGUUUUUGAGGGUAUAUAUAUAUGAUAAUUAAAACUUUGAAAGCUAUUGCAGUUUUAAAUCUGCAGAUACAGAAAAAAAAAAAAAAAAAAAAUCUGUGGUAAAAUACUUUGGCCCAUGGUAGAUUCAUUUGGGCUGGGCCUGAGUCCACAUUGGCCCAAGUUUUAACUAAUGAUUUAAAAACUGGGUCGAACUGGCCUGUUCGACCGGUCAGAUCGUGACUCAGUCUAUAAAGCGGUGCGGUUCAGCACUUUGAACCGAAUAAGUCAAAACACCGUCUUAAAUCAUUCGAAUCGGUAGUUCAACCAUCGAAUCGGUGUGAAUCGAUCUGGUUUAAUCAAAUCGGUCUAGUUUUUUUUUUUCAUCAAGGCAUAUUAAAAUUUAACGAUUUAAAAUCUAACUUACUUGAUUCGGUCUAGAAAUCAGUAUUUUAUAAAAUAACGAUAACAAUAAUAAUAAUAAUAAUAAUUUGAAAAUAAUAAUUAAAUAUUUAUAAUGUUAUGCUGAUUGAUCUAUUGGUUGAACCAGUGACCCGUGACACAGUAACAUUUUCGGAUCACUAUCCAUCAGAUUUUUGAAAGAUUGAAUUAACCUACCAUUAUUUUUAUUUUUAUUGUGGAAAUAAAAAAAAAAAAAGUUGGAGAGAUAUAGUGCUUAAUGAGCCUGUUUGGGUCAGAAACAUGGCCUGCAAUCAGAGGAACUUGCCAAUUUUGGGACUAUUUAAAAACUGGACAAAUGACUUAGAAAACUUAUUAAAAUUUAAUUCUCAGAAAAUUCAAAUAGCUUAUAUAAGUUUAAUGGUGUCGAUGGUCGAUUUGAACGUCUUAUUGUUAAAAAUACGGGGGAUGUUCACCGUAAACAUUCCGUAAUAAUCCCAUUUACUCUUUCCGUGUAUUUGAGCCUUACUCUAAAAUAUAAUAUUUAUUCAGUUUACAGCGUUUGAUUAGGGGAUAGGGAUAAGAAUAGGCCCUUAUCCCCUCCUUUAUACCUAAACGCUAAUUUUUUAUCAGAGAAUAGUAGUUCUCGGUUAUCUCCACCAACACCUCCAUUUUCUAUAUAAAACUAUCUAAAAUUGUUCUUAUUCUCGGAAACAACCCAAUUUUUAUUCAAACACUAUUUUUUUUAUCCCCAUACUUGUACCUAUCCCUGUAAUAGCUAGUUCUUGCUUAUACCCGAACCAAACGGUAAGAUAAUAAAAAAAAAACUCCGCUAAUGUUAUUUCUUAAUACAAAGCUUCUGUUUGGUUGGAGUAUAAGGAGUGGGAUAAGGGUUUAUCCCACCCUUCAUACCCAAAUAAAAAAAUAGUUAAGAUGGGAACUGUCGUUCUCCCGCCUUAACGGGUUAUUCUGUAAAUAGUGUUUUCUUUCGCCCCUUUUCAUAAAAUUUAUAAUUUAAAUUUAAAUUUUGAAUUUUAAAAAUUUAUAAUUUGUAAUUUCAAAAUUAAACCCUAUAAUUUUAAAAUUUAAAAUUUUUAAAUUUAAAUUUGAUCUUAAAUUUAUAAAUUUAAAAUUUAAAAUUUGAAAUUUAAAAUUUGAGAUCUUAAAUUUAAAAUUUUAAUUUUGAAUUUUAAAACUUGAAAGUUAAAAUUCCAAAGUUAAAAAUUUAAAUAUNAGUACAGUAAUAAAUAAAAAAUGACGAUAUUAUCCCUCUUAUCAUAUUUGAAAUUUAAAAUUUGAGAUCUUAAAUUUAAAAUUUUAAUUUUGAAUUUUAAAACUUGAAAGUUAAAAUUCCAAAGUUAAAAAUUUAAAUAUAAAACUUAAAAAUUUAAAUUCAAAUAUGAUAAGAGGGAUAAUAUCGUCAUUUUUUAUUUAUUACUGUACUCUAUUUUUCUCAUUUUAUUUCAUCUAUCCAUCACUAUUUUUCUUAUUCCCGAAAAUAACUCAAUUUUCAUCCAAACGUAAAAUUAAUUUAAUUCUUUUUUAUACCUGAACUUAUACCUAUUUUUGAAAUAAAUAGUUUCUAUUUAUAUCUGAACUGAACAAAAUUUAGUAAAUAAAAAAAAA